rnacentral:rRNA from 1 species
GACGAACGCUGGCGGCGUGCCUAAUACAUGCAAGUAGAACGCUGAAGGAGGAGCUUGCUCUUCUGGAUGAGUUGCGAACGGGUGAGUAACGCGUAGGUAACCUGCCUGGUAGCGGGGGAUAACUAUUGGAAACGAUAGCUAAUACCGCAUAACAGUAGAUGUUGCAUGACAUUUACUUAAAAGGUGCACUUGCAUCACUACCAGAUGGACCUGCGUUGUAUUAGCUAGUUGGUGGGGUAACGGCUCACCAAGGCGACGAUACAUAGCCGACCUGAGAGGGUGAUCGGCCACACUGGGACUGAGACACGGCCCAGACUCCUACGGGAGGCAGCAGUAGGGAAUCUUCGGCAAUGGACGGAAGUCUGACCGAGCAACGCCGCGUGAGUGAAGAAGGUUUUCGGAUCGUAAAGCUCUGUUGUAAGAGAAGAACGAGUGUGAGAGUGGAAAGUUCACACUGUGACGGUAUCUUACCAGAAAGGGACGGCUAACUACGUG